UUUGGAGAAAUAACUAGGAUUAGCAAUUUAGGAAUCAUUGGUGUAUGAGAUCACCAAGUUUAUGUGCAUGAUUUGUGACUGUCCUUCCGGUGUACAUGGAAAUAGCAGACCCAAUGCGGGGCAAUGGGCAUUCCUCUCUACUCUCAGCUGCCUUAGCUGCCAUUGGUUUCCUGUUCCUAGACUUCCUGCUCAACCCUGUUCACUGUGUCUAAUCCUAUCCCAGUACAAGUCCAAAAUGAGCUCCAAGUUAUCAGGACUAGCAGUAGCAAAGGGGGAGAGUUCAGAAAACAGGGUUGCCUGAUGCUAUAGCCACCCACAUCCCACCCCAGGCAACUGUGAAGACUUCCACUUUUAUUGAGGAAGAUGGAAAGUAAUUGGAGGGUUUUGAGCAGAAGAGAGCAUCACUACCAUGGGGAAGAUUAUUCUUUUCUUUAAUCACAUUGUCUCUUAGGUAGGUAGGAAUCUGGGAGGCAGUAUCUUUACUCCUAGACACAUCUCCUGCCAUUUGUCAAAUCCAUGGCCCUUAAAAUUUGUUGGAUAAUGAAUUGGGUGUUAUAUUAAUUUGCUAGGACUGUGGUCACAAAGUGCCACAGAUGAGUAGCUUAAACAGAAAUUCAUUUUCUUACAGUUCUGGAGGCUGCAAGUCCAGAUCAAGAUGAUAGCAGGGUUGGUUCCUUCUGAGGGCUGCGAGGGAAGAUCUGUUCCAAGCCUCUCUCUGCUUGGCUUGUACAUGAUCUUCUCUCUGCCUUCACAUUGUCUUCCCUAUGCCUGUGUCUGUCUCCACAUUUACUCUUCCUAUAAGGCCAGCAGUCAUAUUGGAUUGGGGUCCACCUAAUGACCUCAUUUUAAUUUAAUUUAAAGACCUUAUCUCCAAAUACGGUCACAUUUUGAGGUAUUGGUAGUUGGAACUUUAGCAUGAAUUGUUGGGGAAGACACAGUUCAGCCUAUAACAGACGAUUAGAACCUUAGUUACCAUGUAAAACUUUCUUUCCAUGGGGAAAAAAAAUGAAUUUUGAUUAUAGUGUUCAAGUUUUCAAAGUGCUAAAUGCUAAAAAGUUGCUAAGUUAAAAGCAAGUCUCUGUUUGCACAUUCCAGAGAAAUCUUUAGCCCCAGGCUACAAUGAGAUACGUAGGGCUUCACAGGCUGUUACUUUGUUAUGUGGCUUUCUCUGUGGAAUAUUGUCUAUAAAUAUAAGAAAUUCAGUUAGGCUUGCUGGCAUGUUUUAAUAUUGUCUUUUAUAUUCCACAAACAGGAAGAGUAGUUCUGCAUCUAAAGCCACCACAAUGAGUGAAAAUGAUUUCAAGCAUACAAAAUCCUUUAUAAUUUAAAAGAAUUCCACCUUUGAGAUACGCCAAAACCACAGUUGUUACACAAGUUAUUAAAAGAUUAUAAAAUUCUGCUUUGUCUUACAUUUGCAAAGAGGUACAUGAGGAGAUGAAUUUGGUAUUUCGUGAUAAUUUUUAUGAUCGUUAAAUUACUUGAAAUUGUUAUUUUAAACAAAUAGUUCUGUCAGCACCUAAAUAAAAUCCAGUCUGGCUUUUUGCCUCUGGACUAAGUUAAAAGAAUCACAAAACUUUGUAAGAUUCUGGGGUUUAUGAAAUGUUAAAUGUCCUAACUCCUAGAGAAACUUACUAAAAUAUAUGAUACUGAUUGUGAAAUUAAUCCACAGAGCAUGAAAAUACAAACUGUGUGCACCCUCUGUGCAGGAGUCUGAUUUAGAGGGUUCAGAAACUACUGACAGACGCAAAAGGAACCUCUAGUCUCAUUUCUACCAGAAUCCUCUUUUCUCCCCUAAUACAAUCCUUACUCCGCUGCUCAUUUGUCACUAAUCUAUUCACAGAAGGGAGGUAGGAGGAGUGGGUCUUAUUCCCAAGGAUUUGCACUUUGUGUUUAUUUUUAUUUCUGGGGAACCAAAAGCAACAUGAAGAAAAAUACCUAAUGACCAGAGCUCACUCCCUUGGCAUGUGUCAUUGAUUUUUUUCAUUAAACAUAAUUUUGAGAGUCAAACACAAA